AGUGAACGCUGGCGGUAGGCCUAACACAUGCAAGUCGAACGGCAGCACAGUAAGAGCUUGCUCUUACGGGUGGCGAGUGGCGGACGGGUGAGGAAUACAUCGGAAUCUACUUUUUCGUGGGGGAUAACGUAGGGAAACUUACGCUAAUACCGCAUACGACCUACGGGUGAAAGCCGGGGAUCUUCGGACCUUGCGCGAUUGAAUGAGCCGAUGUCGGAUUAGCUAGUUGGCGGGGUAAAGGCCCACCAAGGCGACGAUCCGUAGCUGGUCUGAGAGGGUGAUCAGCCACACUGGAACUGAGACACGGUCCAGACUCCUACGGGAGGCAGCAGUGGGGAAUAUUGGACAAUGGGCGCAAGCCUGAUCCAGCCAUACCGCGUGGGUGAAGAAGGCCUUCGGGUUGUAAAGCCCUUUUGUUGGGAAAGAAAAGCAGCAGGUUAAUACCCCGCUGUUCUGACGGUACCCAAAGAAUAAGCACCGGCUAACUUCGUG
rnacentral:rRNA from 1 species